rnacentral:misc_RNA from 1 species
UAUCAGUGGUGGUUGGGUGAACUGCCUCGACCUCUACCGCAGCUGCAGCAAGCAGCACCCCACAAUCUCUGAUUGAACGCGAAUGCAUCGUGCGACGCUAAAGGGGCAGGCACCGACACGCACACACACACACACACAAACACACGCAAACAAACACACACGCAUACAGCCAGGCAGACGGGCGCUUCCCCGUUCCACUUUCUACCAAGGAAAGCCCUCUGCUCUUUGCUCGACGCCCCUUUCACCAGCUCGCACGAGGAAUAAAAGCACGACCACCUUCGGACCGUGGAGUCACUGGCACUUGGCUCACGGAGCACAGUUUUGUGUGACAGCAACACAAGGGCAACAGCAACAAAAAAGAAAAGUCAAAGAGAGCACAACCUGUGGACGAUACGGUGGGUGGUGAAAGAAGGUAACACGAAGAGCGUCACAGCAUGACGUCAUAUUCGGAAAAACACAAUGCGCUCACCUCAUCGACGCAGCUCGUUUCCGCAAGGGGCAGCCAACUUCGCAACGCCACAGUCCGCCGCAGUAGCGACGCUGCUGCUAGCAUCUGCGCUCACUUAAUGGUCCACCACGGACUUAGUCGCGUCCGCAUCGCCCAUGCACUGGGACUUCCUUCGCUUGUCGUCGAGGAGUCCAUACGAAAUGGCGUGUCCUCUGCCACGCUGCGAGCCCAGCUGCGCAACUGGCUAUACGAGGUCUCGGCCUUGUCCCCAGCACAGAAGCUGCGUGUGCCGGAGGCACUUUUCACGCAGCUGCAAGAAGAUUGCGCCGCUGAUGAGAUUCAGCGACAGCAGAAUGUGCGCGACGGCGUCGUGUCACCGUAUGGCGAUGACUGCUCCCUCUUCGCCGCCCUCGACCCCGUCUCCCAGCAGCACUUCACUCAGCUACAGCACACAGUGGGGCAGAGCUUUAUUUCGAUCCUGAACGACCCAGGCGAGCCGACCACAAAUGUAGACUGGGCCACCUGGCUAGGGGGCAAGCUCUACGCGGCCUUCGACUUUAAUGGCCGUGUGGGCGACCUGGAGGACAUGCUUCGUUCCUACUCGGCUGCGCAGACAGGGCCCGAGUCCUCUGCCGCCCUGCUCGCCGAGUACCCGCCCAAUGAGGACUUCAGCGGCUACGUGAAGCUUAUCUCAAAGGCCUACCAGGCCAAUCAACGUGAGGGGAUCGCGAACGAUGCGAAGGAGUGGCGGGAGGACUGCGCGGCAGACGCCGGUGGUGACUACACACAACGCGACGGCGCAGCGACCGUGGAUGGCGGGCCGUGGCCGACGGGGAUACCAACGGAGUUUUUUUCCAUCUCCUACGACCCGGCAUCUGAAAUACGCAUGCUGUCAGAGGCCGUGGGUGAGUCGUGGCCUGCUGCUAUACCAAAUUCACCCACUACGGCAGUGGCCACACAGGGCAGCUCAACGGGAACACCGACACAGGUGGUGGAUGGUGGCACGUUUGCGGCUGACUACGAAUAUCUGGAGAGCCGCAAUAAGGAGCUGCGCGCGUGGGAGUCGGCUGUGGAGAAGUGUCUGCUGCAGCACGUCAAGCACCGCUCCGAGGACUUCUUCGCCACUUCCUGCCAGUUCGGCUCCCUCAGCAGCGAUGCUCGAACCGUCUUGGCUGACGUGCGAGUCGCUCGCGAGGGCGGCAUGCGCGCUGGUGAGCACUGCAUUGCCGAGUACCUCCGCAUUGGCAAUCUGUACCGGCGACGGCAGAACUUUCUGCGACUGAACACCACCGCCACCUCGGCGCAGCAAGUGCUGCGCCGAUUAGGGGACGUCGAGAACUGGGCUGCGCUGCCCGAGCGUGAUUUUGGCGAGGUGAUGGCCAUUUCAUCCGCGCUGCUUGACCUGGAGACUGCGGUGCGCGGCACCAAGGAUGUGGAACAGGGCAUCCCGUGGAAGUCCUUGUCGCACCUGAAGUGCCUCCAGGAGGUCCCGGGGCGUGUGCGGAAAGCACGCAAAGCCCUCGAAAAGGUCGUGCUCGAAGAGUACUGCGGUGUGCUGCUGAGCAACCUCGACGAAAGCGAGUCAAACGAGCGAAUGGCGACCGUGUGCGAGAGCGUCACGCGCCUCGGUGUGCUGAACGCGGCAAACCACCUCUACCAUGUAAGGCUUGUUGAGCUGCUUCAGAUCAUGGCACAAGAGGCGCUUGUGGGUCUCUUCAUGAACGCUGGCACGCUGGAUAAUGCCAAGGCGAAUGAGCUACUCACCAUUGCCAGCAACACGGUUGCUCUCGCCCUGCCAGACGCACGCCAGCAGCUCUGCGGGUUUGCGAAACACCUCCGCUUUCAGGGCUAUCUGCAGGUGCUGCAGCAGUUUGUGGACAUGCUCGUGGACUUUGUGACACACGCGUCGCAGAACUGGGGCUUUUUCCUCACGGGAGGGCUGCGGGCGGCGCUCGCCAUGUACGAGAACCGCCACAUCCUGAUGGAGACGGCGACGCGGGACCUGUUUGCGCGCGUUUGUGGCGAGGCGGAGUCGCUAAUCGCAUCGUUGCUGGAGGUAUACGCCAACGGUCUGCAGUUGUCGUCCGUAGUCGAGCUGGUGCAGCUCGUGCGCGUUAGUGUGCAGUUUCCGAUGCGCGUUACAGGCGACGUGGCUGGUCGACUGGUGUCACUUCUUCGCGAGGGCGGUAACGGGUAUGGGACCCCGACCGGCUCGCCCGUGUCGUCGACUGUGAGCGGCCCCAACGCGCAGUCCCUCGAAGCUGCCGAGGAACCGGUCGGCUUUGGGGUGUACCGUCCGACAAAAGUGAUUGGCACGACUGUUCAGCGACUCGUCAAGCGCUUUUUCCGCCACCAGCACAGCAUCAACAAGGAGAACAUGAUUAUGGUGACGGAAGGGGAAACGUGGGCCGCCAAGGAGGCGGUCGACGAGUCGAUACAGCAGCAGGUGGAGGACAUGUGCACCAUGGAGGUGACAGCGCUGAAGGCGUUUCGGCUGCGCUCGCUGACGGCACUCUUCGCCUCGGGCGACAGCGACGGUGCCUUUAAUCGAUGGCACCAUUCAGCGAGCUCGGCUCGUGGCGCCGCGGAUAGCUGCGGCGCGGAUGAUCUCCUCAGCACCGGAGCCGCGAAACUCUACGUGCGAGUGCGGUGCAGUACCGGUGCCGCCGUCCUAGGCAACGGGAAGACGGCUAGCGACCCGACGGAAGCGGCGCCGGGCCCCGACACUGACGAGCUGGAAGGCCGCCUCGUGCCCAUCUCCUUCCUCGUUUUGAUGGAUCUGUUGCACAAAUACCACGAAUACAUUGCCCUCUUCCCCUUUCUUGCCUUCGAUGUCGCGUCGCGCAUGAGUGAGCUGCUCGACGAGUACGAGGGCCAGGCGGCCGCCUUGGUGCUUGGCGCGCGGGCAGUGGAGAAGGGCACGCUCCCCACCAUCACGACGCAGCACCUAUGCAUUGCCUCGCAGUGUGUCGCGUUUCUCAUCGAUUUCAUUCCUGCUCUGCAGGUGCACUUGACGGCAGCGAUGGAAGAUGGUCUCCUUGCCUACUCGCUGCGUGAUUGCGUGCCGCGCGAUGCGCUGGCGGUGGCGAAGGCGCUAGGCCUUAUGGGAAGUGCUUCAGCAGCACAGAUGACGUCAGACUCGUCCUCUGCAAACGCCGCUCCUGAAAAGGCGAAGCUGUUCGUCAAGAAUGACUGGAACCGUGUGGUGCGCAACUGCGUGGCCCACCGCAACGAAUUCUACUCGAAGAUGGGGUCCCUCGUGCACCGCAAGGUGAACAGCCUCGAUCACGUCUCGAUGCAGAAGAGACACUGGCCGGCAAGCCGUAACGAGUGGGUCAUGGCAAUGCUCCGCGAGGUGGCGCGGCUAAUGCGUGCGCUGCGGCCGUUGCUGCCGCCUGGAGACAUGGAUGGCGUGAUGGUUCCAUUGCUGGGGUCACUGAGUGUCAUGCUGCGCGAGUCGACCCUGCAGAUCCCGGCCACCGCGGAGGACGACCGCGCUGCCGCCGCGUCGGACGUGAUGCUCUUCACGGCAAACGUGGAGAAGUUCGGCUACGAUGUCCUCAGGUGCGCCGAGGCGACAUCGGUGUCUGCGGUGAUGCAGGGCGGUCAGUCCUUCGUGCCGGUGUCGUCGGAGGAGGCAGUGCUGCGGUGGUUUUUGCCGCCCUCUCAGUCCAGCUCUCCUCGGCUUCCCGCCGCAACCAAGUGAAGAGGUUUUCACUGCGCGGGCAGCGGCAGCGAUGCAUCAACGACAGAGGAGGGAGGGGCGAGGGAAAGACGGGUGAUGGCGCAAGCUGUCUUGCGUGCUACCUGAGCCACGGUCUCUCCGGACUCCCCUCUGUCGCUCUCUGUCUGGCUUGCGCGCCUCGUUGUGUCGCACUAUUCCUUCCGCUUCAGCUUGCGAGACUGAGGAGCGAGGAAGAAAGCAGCAACAGCACCACAGCACAGCUCCAGCGGACUGGGGCGCACCACUCCCUCGACCCUUUUGCCCUGGCGGCGGGUACGAAAGCAACGGAAGCGAGCGAAGCUGAAACCCUCAUGCUUUUCAUCGGCUAGGAUCGCGACAAC